rnacentral:rRNA from 1 species
CUACGGGGUGCUGCAGUGAGGAAUUUUGCGCAGUGGGGGAAACCCUGACGCAGCAACGCCGCGUGAGUGACGAAGGUUUUAGGACCGUAAAGCUCUGUCAAGUGGGAAGAACCUGUGGGGAAACAACACAACCCCGCACUGACGGUACCACUGAAGGAAGCACCGGCUAACUCCGUGCCAGCAGCCGCGGUAACACGGGGGGUGCAAGCGUUAUUCGGAAUUAUUGGGCGUAAAGAGCGCGUAGGCGGUCUCUUAAGUCAGAUGUGAAAGCCCGGGGCUUAACCUCGGAAGUGCAUUUGAAACUAAGGGACUUGAGUAGGGGAGAGGGAAGGGGAAUUCCUGGUGUAGAGGUGAAAUUCGUAGAUAUCAGGAGGAACACCGGUGGCGAAGGCGACUUCCUGGACCAAUACUGACGCUGAGGCGCGAAGGCGUGGGUAGCAAACAGGAUUAGAUACCCCGGUAGUC